GCCCUGGUUGUGUAGCGGUUAGCACAUGGCCCUGUCGAGGCCAUAGCCCGAGUUCAAAUCUCGGCCGGGGCG
rnacentral:tRNA from 1 species